UUGUUAAAAACGAAAACGAGGAGAGAGAGAGAGACGAGAGAGAUGCUUUGGCUUUUUUGUUUUUCCUUUUUCAGCUGCAGACCAUCGCAGUCAUUUGAUCAGAGCGGAGGGCAGCCAAAGGCCUCAGUAUCUUGAGGAUUACAACAAAAAAAAGGCACAGUGUGACUGUUCCCUAUGAGCCGCCCCAGGUAUCACUGCCUCUCACUUCUGACCUUUCCCCUAACGUAGCAAUUAAAUGUUAUCAUUCUGUUGUGCCUCUCGUUCCGCUUUCACGGUUUGUCAUCCCUGAAAUUACCCGUGCACUAAACGACUACUAUCCUGCAUGUGUUUCAGCCGGGCUCAGAGAUCACCACAAUCCUGUUCAACUUCAUGUGCAACAGCUCCUGCAUGGGAGGCAUGAACCGCGGACCCAUCCUCACCAUCCUGACCCUUGAGACUUCAGACGGACAACUUUUGGGCCGAAGAUGCUUCGAGGUGCGUGUCUGCGCGUGUCCCGGCAGGGAUCGUAAAACAGAGGAGGCAAAUAGUGCCAAACUGCAGACAGGGGCCAAACAAGUGAAGAAAAGAAGUAUGUGUUUGUUUAUUAAUGCUGGGUUUGUCUUUGAACCUUGGCUGUCUUCUAUCUUACGGAUCACGUUUUGCUUUUCUAGAAAGUGCCCCAGCAACAGAUCCUGAUAUGUGCAAAAGGAAGUCUGGCUCAAGCACAGACGAGGAGGAAGUAUUUAUGUUGCCAGUUAAAGGCCGUGAGCGCUAUAACAUGUUAAAAAAGAUAAAUGAUGCAUUAGAACUGGCUGAAAAAGAGGCGUAAGUAUCUUUAAACUACAACACACACACACACACACACACACACACACACACACACACACACCGAAACUGUGAUCGGAUGUCACUUUGAUAAACAUUAGCUGCUACGGAACAGCUGCAUGAGACUUUCAGCAUUGCAUAGCUGUAGCGUUAAAUACUUUUCCCUUAAACCAGACGUGUCCCAUCUCUGUUCUGCAUGGUCACUGUUUGUUUCCUCUCUCCACAGUAAAAACAAAACUGGGCUUCUAAGGAACUGCUGCCGUCCAGUGGAAAGCGCGUCUUGCAAACAGCAGAACGAAGCGACAGCGACUAGUUGCAAUCUGCCUUCUUUUAACCGCCAUGUUAUGUUCAGUGUUGCUUCCUGGCCAACAUCCCUCAGCAGGAGGCUGCACGAUCAUCGAGUUCAGAUGAACUGUGCGACCCCAGCCCCCCUGUACCUCCCCGUCCCUCGUCCUGCCGGGGUCCGGCGCGACCCCAGCCCACGGAACUUCCCCGUCCCUCGUCCUGCCGGGGUCCGGCGCGACCCCUGCCCACGGAACCUCCCCGUCCCUCGUCCUGCCGGGGUCCGGCGCGACCCCAGCCCCCUGUACCUCCCCGUCCCGCAUCCUCCCGGGGUCAGGCGCUACCCCCAGCCCCCUGUACCUACCCGUCAGGCGUCUUGCCGGGGUCCGGCGCGACCCCAUUUUUUUUGUUUUUUAUUUUUCCUUCUCCUUUCCUCCCCUUUACCUCCACCCGUGCCACAGGCCCACUGAUGAUGAACAUGAUGAUGAUGACGACGAACAUGAUGAUGAUGAUGAUGAUGAUGAUGAUGAUGAUGAUGCAAGCAGACAGCUGCGUGCAAGGGCUGACCAUUUUAAAACGAAAAAUAAAACAGACCAAACAGGCA
ensembl:lncRNA